AUCAAAUAUCUGUUAAUGAAAGCUUUAAUGCAAUUCAAAUGAUUUAUGGCCAUCAACGCACAAAUUUUCAGCCGGAGAUAAAAUUAUAUAUAAAAAGCCCUAUUGUAACCGUGGAAGCGUGCAGAAGCCGAACACAGAGAGAUGGACACAGGUAUUCAGGAAGUAAGAGGCCUUUAUUCACGUACCGAUCGGGUCUCAGAUGGACUAACGUUCGACAACAGGUCUGAGCACAUUGAGUACAUUCAUUAUAUAACACUGUAGCUCCUUCCAUAAUUAGCUACACCCACACAUACCCUUAACCAAUCAAUGAACAGAGUCUAAACUCGUCCAUCCGGUCUAACCACUUGGCUCAUCUAAAACAAAGGAG